rnacentral:rRNA from 1 species
AGCUGCGAGCGAAGCGGCAUAAGCUCAAAUUUGAAAUCUGGCGAAAGCCCGAGUUGUAAUUUGCAGAAGAUGCUUCGGUGUCGUACGUUGAUCUAAGUUUUCUGGAACGGAACGUCAUAGAGGGUGAGAACCCCGUAAAUGGACAACUGUAUUGAUACCAUAUGUAGCACUUUCAACGAGUCGAGUUGUUUGGGAAUGCAGCUCUAAGUGGGAGGUAAAUUUCUUCUAAGGCUAAAUAUAGGCCAGAGACCGAUAGCGAACAAGUAGAGUGAUCGAAAGAUGAAAAGCACUUUGAAAAGAGGGUUAAAAAGUACGUGAAAUUGUUGAAAGGGAAGCGCUUGCAGUCAGACUUGCUAACCGUUGCUCAAUUCGUCUUCGUGACGGAUGCCUCAACUUGAAGCAGGCCAACAUCAGUUCGGGCGGCAGGAUAAUGGCCUGGAGAAUGUAUCUUGCCUUCGGGGAAGUGUUAUAGCUCCUAGUGUGAUGCUGCCAGCCUGGACUGAGGAUAGCGUCUUUGACUAGGAUGUUGGCGUAAUGGCUGCAAGCGACCCGUCUUGAAACACGGACCAAGGAGUCUAACAUCUGCGCGAGUGUUUGGGUGUCAAACCCGCACGCGUAAUGAAAGUAAAUGAAGGUGGGAGUCCCGCUUGCGCGGAUGCACCAUCGACCGAUCCUGAUGUUUUCGGAUGGAUUUGAGUAAGAGCGCAGCUGUUGGGACCCGAAAGAUGGUGAACUAUGCCUGUGUAGGCUGAAGCCAGAGGAAACUCUGGUGGAAGGUCGCAGCGGUUCUGACGUGCAAAUCGAUCGUCAAACAUGGGUAUAGGGGCGAAAGACUAAUCGAACCAUCUAGUAGCUGGUUCACGCCGAAGUUUCCCUCAGGAUAGCAGUGACGUUGUCAGUUUUAUGGGGUAAAGCGAAUGAUUAGAGGCCUUGGGGUUGAAAUAACCUUAACCUAUUCUCAAACUUUGAAUAUGUAAGAAGCUCUUGUUACUUAAUUGAACAUGAGCGUUUGAAUGAACCGUCACUAGUGGGCCAUUUUUGGUAAGCAGAACUGGCGAUGCGGGAUGAACCGAACGCGGGGUUAAGGUGCCAGAGUGCACGCUCAUUAGACACCACAAAAGGUGUUGGUUCAUCUUGACAGCAGGACGGUGGCCAUGGAAGUCGGAAUCCGCUAAGGAGUGUGUAACAACUCACCUGCCGAAUGAACCAGCCCUGAAAAUGGAUGGCGCUCAAGCGUGCCACCUAUACCCCGCCGUCAGAGUAGAACAUUUCAAUUGACACUCUGACGAGUAGGCGUGCGUGGAGAUU